rnacentral:rRNA from 1 species
UGGGGAAUUUUGGACAAUGGGGGCAACCCCGAUCCAGCAAUGCCGCGUGUGUGAAGAAGGCCUUCGGGUUGUAAAGCACUUUUGUCCGGAAAGAAAACGUCGUGGUUAAUACCCGUGGCGGCUGACGGUACCGGAAGAAUAAGCACCGGCUAACUACGUGCCAGCAGCCGCGGUAAUACGUAGGGUGCAAGCGUUAAUCGGAAUUACUGGGCGUAAAGCGUGCGCAGGCGGUCCGCUAAGACAGAUGUGAAAUCCCCGGGCUUAACCUGGGAACUGCAUUUGUGACUGGCGGGCUAGAGUAUGGCAGAGGGGGGUAGAAUUCCACGUGUAGCAGUGAAAUGCGUAGAGAUGUGGAGGAAUACCGAUGGCGAAGGCAGCCCCCUGGGCCAAUACUGACGCUCAUGCACGAAAGCGUGGGGAGCAAACAGGAUUAGAUACCCUGGUAGUCCACGCCCUAAACGAUGUCAACUAGUUGUCGGGUCUUCAUUGACUUGGUAACGUAGCUAACGCGUGAAGUUGACCGCCUGGGGAGUACGGUC